GCCUGGGCCUCAGUGGUAGAGCACUCGCCUAGCAUGAGCGAGGCCCUGGGUUCGAUCCUCAGUGCCAUGUA
rnacentral:tRNA from 1 species